UCUAUCUGUCUAUCUAUCUAUCUAUCUAUCUAUCUAUCUAUCUAUCUAUCUAUCUAUCUGCAAGUGUUGCCUUUAAUGUUCAACUUGUAAAGUGUGAGGUAAACCAAAAUGUCUACUGUUCUGUUAUAAAUAUUACAUUGUAUUUCCUUCUCUAACAAUGUUUCACCAUUUAUAUCAGGUAGCUUUUAAUCAUACUCCGAGUCAUUAAUAUGCAUUUGUUUUUAGGUAAUCCUGAUGUAUCAUUAACAUUGAAUGACGCAAACUAUUACUGAGUGAGCUCUGUUCUGUUCCUUUGUUUUCCUCUUCAGUAUCCUGCCAUGUGUUAUUUUGAGUUUCAUAUUUGCCUUUUUUUUUUAAGUCUGUCCACAUUCCUGCCCCAAGAUAUGUGCAAAUUAUUAAUAUAAUUUUUCUUGCAAGCCUGUGUUAAUUUGUUCAGCUUUGACCAACAACUGAUGUUCAGACGUCUCUGUGUGCAUUUGGUUUGUGUAGAAAUCGAUGACAAUGUUAAAUCUUUAUUGGAUCAUAUUCUAAUGUCAUAUGUAGUUUAUUACGAGUAUAAAUGAAAAAUAAAUGUUUUUGUCUGACAAUAGGGGAAAAAAGAGUCCAGGGCCUUAAAUGUGGCCAGAAAAGCUAUGUAUUUAAUAGUAAUAACAAUAAUAAAAGGAUUAUGAGGAAUAUUUGUGGUAUAUUGCUAUGACUGACAUAUUGAAUUAAUGUGCUAUAUAAAUGUCAGCUGUGUCACAAUAAAUUAUUUCGAAUGCAGA
rnacentral:lncRNA from 1 species